rnacentral:rRNA from 1 species
CAGCCGCCACGGUAAUACCGGCGGCCCGAGUGGCGGCCACUAUUAUUGGGCUUAAAGCGUCCGUAGCCGGGUUGGUUAGUCUCCCGGGAAAUCUGGCCGCUUAACGGUCAGAAUUCCGGGAGAUACUGCCAGCCUAGGGACCGGGAGAGGCCGAGGGUAUUCCCGGAGUAGGGGUGAAAUCCUAUAAUCCCGGGAGGACCACCUGUGGCGAAGGCGCUCGGCUGGAACGGGUCCGACGGUGAGGGACGAAGGCCAGGGGAGCAAACCGGAUUAGAUACCCGGGUAGUCCUGGCGGUAAACGAUGCGGACUUUGUGUCGGACAAGCUAUGAGCUUGUCCGGUGCCGGAGGGAAACCGUUAAGUCCGCCGCCUGGGGAGUACGGCCGCAAGGCUGAAACUUAAAGGAAUUGGCGGG